rnacentral:rRNA from 1 species
UACAGAGGGGGCAAGCGUUAUUCGGAAUUAUUGGGCGUAAAGGGCGCGUAGGCGGCUUGGCAAGUGGAUGGUGAAAUCCCUCGGCUUAACCGAGGAACUGCCGUCCAAACUGCUUCGCUUGAGACCGGGAGAGGUGAGUGGAAUUCCCAGUGUAGCGGUGAAAUGCGUAGAUAUUGGGAGGAACACCAGUGGCGAAGGCGGCAUCCUGGACCGACAUUGACGCUGAUGAGCGAAAGCUAGGGGAGCAAACGGG